rnacentral:rRNA from 1 species
AUACGGAGGAUGCAAGCGUUAUCCGGAUUUAUUGGGUUUAAAGGGUGCGUAGGCGGGAAAAUAAGUCAGUGGUGAAAUCCUACAGCUUAACUGUAGAAUUGCCGUUGAUACUGUUUUUCUUGAGUAUGGUCAAGGAAGGCGGAAUGUGUAAUGUAGCGGUGAAAUGCUUAGAUAUUACACAGAACACCAAUUGCGAAGGCAGCUUUCUGGCCCAUUACUGACGCUGAGGCACGAAAGCGUGGGGAUCGAACAGGAUUAGAUACCCUGGUAGUCCACGCCGUAAACGAUGAUCACUAGCUGUUGGCGAUAUACUGUCAGCGGCAAAGCAAAAGCAUUAAGUGAUCCACCUGGGGAGUACGGCCGCAAGGCUGAA